UACGUAGGGGGCAAGCGUUAUCCGGAUUUACUGGGUGUAAAGGGAGCGUAGACGGCGAUGCAAGUCUGAAGUGAAAGCCCGGGGCUCAACCCCGGGACUGCUUUGGAAACUGUAUGGCUGGAGUGCUGGAGAGGCAAGCGGAAUUCCUAGUGUAGCGGUGAAAUGCGUAGAUAUUAGGAGGAACAUCAGUGGCGAAGGCGACUCUCUGGACUGUAACUGGCGCUGAGGCACGAAAGUGUGGGGAGCAAACAGU
rnacentral:rRNA from 1 species